rnacentral:tRNA from 1 species
ACUUAAGUAGUUUAAAUAAAAUUAUGAUUUGUGGUAUCAUAGAUAUAAGGUUUAUCUUAGGUU